UCUUGGUCAUUUAGAGGAAGUAAAAGUCGUAACAAGGUUUCCGUAGGUGAACCUGCGGAAGGAUCAUUAAAGAAAUUUAAUAAUUUUGAAAAUGGAUUUUUUUGUUUUGGCAAGAGCAUGAGAGCUUUUACUGGGCAAGAAGACAAGAGAUGGAGAGUCCAGCCGGGCCUGCGCUUAAGUGCGCGGUCUUGCUAGGCUUGUAAGUUUCUUUCUUGCUAUUCCAAACGGUGAGAGAUUUCUGUGCUUUUGUUAUAGGACAAUUAAAACCGUUUCAAUACAACACACUGUGGAGUUUUCAUAUCUUUGCAACUUUUUCUUUGGGCAUUCGAGCAAUCGGGGCCCAGAGGUAACAAACACAAACAAUUUUAUCUAUUCAUUAAAUUUUUGUCAAAAACAAGAAUUUUCGUAACUGGAAAUUUUAAAAUAUUAAAAACUUUCAACAACGGAUCUCUUGGUUCUCGCAUCGAUGAAGAACGCAGCGAAAUGCGAUACGUAAUGUGAAUUGCAGAAUUCCGUGAAUCAUCGAAUCUUUGAACGCACAUUGCGCCCCUUGGUAUUCCAGGGGGCAUGCCUGUUUGAGCGUCAUUUCCUUCUCAAACAUUCUGUUUGGUAGUGAGUGAUACUCUUUGGAGUUAACUUGAAAUUGCUGGCCUUUUCAUUGGAUGUUUUUUUUCCAAAGAGAGGUUCCUCUGCGUGCUUGAGGUAUAAUGCAAGUACGGUCGUUUUAGGUUUUACCAACUGCGGCUAAUCUUUUUUUAUACUGAGCGUAUUGGAACGUUAUCGAUAAGAAGAGAGCGUCUAGGCGAACAAUGUUCUCAAAGUUUGACCUCAAAUCAGGUAGGAGUACCCGCUGAACUUAAGCAUAUCAAUAAGCGGAG
rnacentral:rRNA from 1 species